rnacentral:rRNA from 1 species
AUUGAACGCUGGCGGCAUGCCUUACACAUGCAAGUCGAACGGCAGCACGGGAGCAAUCCUGGUGGCGAGUGGCGAACGGGUGAGUAAUAUAUCGGAACGUGCCCAGUCGUGGGGGAUAACGCAGCGAAAGCUGUGCUAAUACCGCAUACGAUCUAUGGAUGAAAGCGGGGGAUCGCAAGACCUCGCGCGAUUGGAGCGGCCGAUAUCAGAUUAGCUAGUUGGUGGGGUAAAGGCCCACCAAGGCGACGAUCUGUAGCUGGUCUGAGAGGACGACCAGCCACACUGGAACUGAGACACGGUCCAGACUCCUACGGGAGGCAGCAGUGGGGAAUUUUGGACAAUGGGCGCAAGCCUGAUCCAGCAAUGCCGCGUGCAGGAUGAAGGCCUUCGGGUUGUAAACUGCUUUUGUACGGAACGAAACGGUCUGCCCUAAUACGGUGGGCUAAUGACGGUACCGUAAGAAUAAGCACCGGCUAACUACGUGCCAGCCGCCGCGGUAAGAC